GCACCCGCGGUAAUUCCAGCUCCAAUAGCGUAUAUUAAAGUUGUUGCAGUUAAAAAGCUCGUAGUUGGAUUUCUGGGAGAGUGGCGAUGUCCGCUUAACGUGUGUGCAGCGGCGCUCUUCCAUCCUUCUGUUAGCGUCUCUUGGCAUUCAUUUGCUGGUGGCGGGCUCAGAUAUUUUACCUUGAGAAAAUUAGAGUGUUUCAGGCAGGCUAGGCCGGAAUACAUUAGCAUGGAAUAAUGGAAUAGGACUACGGUCUCUUUGUUGGUUUGAGGGACUGCAGUAAUGAUUAAUAGGGAUAGUUGGGGGCAUUAGUAUUUAAUUGUCAGAGGUGGAAUUCUCAGAUUUGUUAAAGACUAACCUAUGCGAAAGCAUUUGCCAAGGAUGUUUUCAUUGAUCAAGAACGAAAGU
rnacentral:rRNA from 1 species